rnacentral:rRNA from 1 species
UACGAAGGGGGCUAGCGUUGCUCGGAAUCACUGGGCGUAAAGGGUGCGUAGGCGGUUCUUUAAGUCAGAGGUGAAAUCCUGGAGCUCAACUCCAGAACUGCCUUUGAUACUGGGAGCCUUGAGUUCGGGAGAGGUGAGUGGAACUGCGAGUGUAGAGGUGAAAUUCGUAGAUAUUCGCAAGAACACCAGUGGCGAAGGCGGCUCACUGGCCCGAUACUGACGCUGAGGUGCGAAAGCGUGGGGAGCAAACAGG